UAAUACGUAGGUGGCAAGCGUUGUCCGGAAUUAUUGGGCGUAAAGCGCGCGCAGGCGGCUAUGUAAGUCUGGUGUCAAAGCCCGGGGCUCAACCCCGGUACGCAUCGGAAACUGUGUAGCUUGAGUGCAGAAGAGGAAAGCGGUAUUCCACGUGUAGCGGUGAAAUGCGUAGAUAUGUGGAGGAACACCAGUGGCGAAGGCGGCUUUCUGGUCUGUAACUGACGCUGAGGCGCGAAAGCGUGGGGAGCAAACAGGAUUAGAUACCCUGGUAGUCCACGCCGUAAACGAUGAGUGCUAGGUGUUGGGGGUUUCAAUACCCUCAGUGCCGCAGCUAACGCAAUAAGCACUCCGCCUGGGGAGUACGCUCGCAAGAGUGAA
rnacentral:rRNA from 1 species